rnacentral:rRNA from 1 species
GCGUGGAGACAGGUGGUGCAUGGCUGUCGUCAGCUCGUGUCGUGAGAUGUUGGGUUAAGUCCCGCAACGAGCGCAACCCUCACCCCUUGUUGCCAUCAGGUCAUGCUGGGCACUCUAGGGGAACUGCCCCGGUCAACGGGGAGGAAGGCGGGGAUGACGUCAAGUCAUCAUGCCCCUUACGUCCUGGGCUACACACUUGCUACAAUGGCCGGUACAAAGGGAUGCAACGCCGCGAGGCAGAGCCAAACCCAAAAAGCCGGUCUAAGUUCAGAUUGGAGUCUGCAACUCGACUCCAUGAAGGAGGAAUCGCUAGUAAUCGCGUAUCAGCACGACGCGGUGAAUACGUUCCCGGGCCUUGUACACACCGCCCGUCACACCACGAAAGCCAGCUGUACUCGAAGUCGCUGAG